AUUGAACGCUGGCGGCAGGCCUAACACAUGCAAGUCGAGCGGAUGAAGGGAGCUUGCUCCUGGAUUCAGCGGCGGACGGGUGAGUAAUGCCUAGGAAUCUGCCUGGUAGUGGGGGAUAACGUCCGGAAACGGGCGCUAAUACCGCAUACGUCCUGAGGGAGAAAGUGGGGGAUCUUCGGACCUCACGCUAUCAGAUGAGCCUAGGUCGGAUUAGCUAGUUGGUGGGGUAAAGGCCUACCAAGGCGACGAUCCGUAACUGGUCUGAGAGGAUGAUCAGUCAGACAGACAAUGAGAAGGGGUCCAGACACGAGGGGGAGGCAGCGGUGAGGAAUAUGGGAAAAGGGGCGAAAGCGUGAUACAGCCAGGCUGUGUGUGAGAAGGAGGUCUGUGGAUUGUAAAUCAGGUUAGGUUGGGAUGAAGGGCAGUAAGUUAAUAACUUGCUUUAUUGAUGUAAACAAUAGAAGAAGCCCCGUCACAAUUCGGGCCAGCGGCAGCGGUAAUAGGCGGAAGGGCACCCGUCGGAAC
rnacentral:rRNA from 1 species